rnacentral:rRNA from 1 species
GCUCUGUUGUUAGGGAAGAACAAGUGCGAGAGUAACUGCUCGCACCAUGACGGUACCUAACCAGAAAGCCACGGCUAACUACGUGCCAGCAGCCGCGGUAAUACGUAGGUGGCAAGCGUUGUCCGGAAUUAUUGGGCGUAAAGGGCUCGCAGGCGGUUUCUUAAGUCUGAUGUGAAAGCCCCCGGCUCAACCGGGGAGGGUCAUUGGAAACUGGGAAACUUGAGUGCAGAAGAGGAGAGUGGAAUUCCACGUGUAGCGGUGAAAUGCGUAGAGAUGUGGAGGAACACCAGUGGCGAAGGCGACUCUCUGGUCUGUAACUGACGCUGAGGAGCGAAAGCGUGGGGAGCGAACAGGAUUAGAUACCCUGGUAGUCCACGCCGUAAACGAUGAGUGCUAAGUGUUAGGGGGUUUCCGCCCCUUAGUGCUGCAGCUAACGCAUUAAGCACUCCGCCUGGGGAGUACGGUCGCAAGACUGAAACUCAAAGGAAUUGACGGGGGCCCGCACAAGCGGUGGAGCAUGUGGUUUAAUUCGAAGCAACG